AUUGAACGCUGGCGGCAUGCUUUACACAUGCAAGUCGAACGGCAGCGCGGGGCAACCUGGCGGCGAGUGGCGAACGGGUGAGUAAUAUAUCGGAACGUACCCAAGAGUGGGGGAUAACGUAGCGAAAGUUACGCUAAUACCGCAUACGAUCUAAGGAUGAAAGUGGGGGAUCGCAAGACCUCAUGCUCCUGGAGCGGCCGAUAUCUGAUUAGCUAGUUGGUGAGGUAAAGGCUCACCAAGGCGACGAUCAGUAGCUGGUCUGAGAGGACGACCAGCCACACUGGAACUGAGACACGGUCCAGACUCCUACGGGAGGCAGCAGUGGGGAAUUUUGGACAAUGGGCGCAAGCCUGAUCCAGCAAUGCCGCGUGAGUGAAGAAGGCCUUCGGGUUGUAAAGCUCUUUUGUCAGGGAAGAAACGGUAGAGGCUAAUAUCCUUUGCUAAUGACGGUACCUGAAGAAUAAGCACCGGCUAACUACGUG
rnacentral:rRNA from 1 species